rnacentral:lncRNA from 1 species
AGCUGGUGGAGAUUAAAUGAGUUACUAUAUGUAAGGUGCUGUAUCACAAGCUGCCUGACAUAUAGUAAGUACUAUAUAUGUUUGUUAAAUCAUUACAAAUAAAUGGGAUAUCAUACUUGUAUGUUAUGAAUUCUUACUAGUAAAUCUGUAAGGUAAGUAUGCUACUAUUUUUACUAACUAGGACUCAUGUUAUAUGGUUUGCCUAAGGCUGGCAUGGUUUGCUGGUAUGGAAAACAUAUUCUGUUCCACAUACCAGAGCACGCUCAGGGUUUCUAUAUGAGAAUACCUAACAGACAGUAGAAAUGGACUCAUUAUUAGGAUAAGUGCUGAGGCUCUGUAGUUGAAACUCCUUCACAUUGAGGUAGUUGUUGAUGACAUGGGAUGCCUGCAGUUGCCAAGAGAGUCUAUAGAAGAAAAGAUUGAAUAUUGGAGCUGGUGAGUGAGAGUGGGUAGGAGCAGAUAGAGAGAUGGGACAUAAAACAGGAAGGUGUGGAGUACAGAAAAGGCAUAGUUAAAAGAUGACUCCCCCAUUCUUUGGGAAGUGAAGUGGGACAAAAUCAGAGCAGGGAGCUGGGAUAGUGAUGGCUGGGUCCCUUGUGACCUUGGUGGGAAUGGUGGCACUAGUUUGGUAAAGGUAGAAUCUGAUUUUCAAGGGCUUAAGAAGAGAAGCAAUAAAUUCCAUGAAAGUAAACUGUUCUUUUAAGAAGUUUGGCAAUUAAAGGUAGCUAACUAUGGAAGAAACAGGUAAGGGAUCCCUUUUCAACAGAGGCAAUUGAGUUUGACCUCUAGGAGAGGAAAGGCAAAGACUAAAGAAAUAGUGGAGAAGCUGGAAAGAGCAGGCUAGCAGAGGUAGGUCAGGAGCAUGGGUGCUGGGGGGGUUGGGCUCAGUAGGGGUGCUGCUUUAGGAUUGGAGGGAGAAAAGAGUCUAUGUACAGUAUCUUAUGACAUUGCAUGUGGAUGGAGAGAAAGUUGAGGCAGUUCACUUACAAUCCAAUCUUUGUAGAGUGGGCAAGGAAGAUGUUGGGGAAGUCAGAAGUAUGUUUGAGAACAUGAAAGAAUUGGAGGGAGUUUUGGAUGUCUUUUAGAGAUAAAAUGAAAAGGGGAUUGAAUAGUGAUGGCCAGUGCCUAGGACUGAUUGAUUCAAGUGAGGUGUGUUUUUUUUUUUUUUUUUUUUUUUUAAGGGCCAGGCUAGGGGUUGAAUUGGAGCUGUAGCUGCUGGCCUACACCACAGCUUACUGCAACGCCAAAACCUUAACCCACUGAGUGAGGUUGGGGAUCGAACCUGCAUCCUCAUGAGUACUAGUCACAUUUGUUUCUGCUGAGCCAUGGUGGAAACUCCCAAGUAAGGGUUUUUAUGGAAAGUCAAGAUUACUAGGGAAUUUCAGAGAGCAUUUGGUUGGAAAUAGUUAACUAUAGGCUCUGAAGAGGAGGCUGUAUAGGCUAGGUUAAUGCUUCUCAUACGUCCCCUGUAAAAUAUGCAUAAUGACCGUGAAGAAGAAGGGAAACUUAUCUCCAAGGCUUGGGGAUUUACAUCAAAGUAGCCCAUUACAGUUCUGAAGUCUUGAGUUUUAUUUUCAAAAUAUUUAAAAUUCCAUGAUGGCUCUGCAUUUGUUUUAAAUUUAGGUAUUAAGCUAUUUAUCAUUGACUAAACUAAACAGUUAAAAAAAGAUAUGCCAGAGUUCCCGUUGUGGUGCAGUGGUUAACGAAUCCAACUAGGAACCAUGAGGUUGCAGGUUUGAUUCCUGGCCUUGCUCAGUGGGUUAAGGAUCUGGCAUUGCCAUGAGCUGUGGUGUAGUUUGCAGACGUGGCUCGGAUCCCUUGUUGCUGUGGCUCUGGCGUAGGCUGGCAGCUACAGCUCGGAUUAGACCCCUAGCCUGGGAACCUCCAUAUGCUGUGGGAGCGGACCAAGAAAAAUG